AAAACUUUCAACAACGGAUCUCUUGGUUCUGGCAUCGAUGAAGAACGCAGCGAAAUGCGAUAAGUAAUGUGAAUUGCAGAAUUCAGUGAAUCAUCGAAUCUUUGAACGCACAUUGCGCCCUCUGGUAUUCCGGAGGGCAUGCCUGUUCGAGCGUCAUUUCAACCCUCAAGCUCUGCUUGGUAUUGGG
rnacentral:rRNA from 1 species